rnacentral:rRNA from 1 species
GAUGAACGCUGGCGGCGUGCUUAACACAUGCAAGUCGAACGAUGAAGCCCAGCUUGCUGGGUGGAUUAGUGGCGAACGGGUGAGUAACACGUGAGUAACCUGCCCUUGACUCUGGGAUAAGCGCUGGAAACGGCGUCUAAUACCGGAUACGAGCUUCCACCGCAUGGUGAGUUGCUGGAAAGAGUUUCGGUCAAGGAUGGACUCGCGGCCUAUCAGGUAGUUGGUGAGGUAACGGCUCACCAAGCCGACGACGGGUAGCCGGCCUGAGAGGGUGACCGGCCACACUGGGACUGAGACACGGCCCAGACUCCUACGGGAGGCAGCAGUGGGGAAUAUUGCACAAUGGGCGCAAGCCUGAUGCAGCAACGCCGCGUGAGGGACGAAGGCCUUCGGGUCGUAAACCUCUUUUAGCAGGGAAGAAGCGAAAGUGACGGUACCUGCAGAAAAAGCACCGGCUAACUACGUG